AAUAUUGCACAAUGGGCGAAAGCCUGAUGCAGCAACGCCGCGUGAGGGACGACGGCCNNNGGGUUNUAAACCUCUUUUAGUAGNGACNAAGCGAAAGUGACGGUACCUGCAGAAAAAGCACCGGCUAACCACGUGCCAGCAGCCGCGGUAAUACGUAGGGUGCAAGCGUUGUCAGGAAUUAUUGGGCGUAAAGAGCUCGUAGGCGGUUUGUCGCGUCUGCUGUGAAAACUGGAGGCUCAACCUCCAGCCUGCAGUGGGUACGGGCAGACUAGAGUGCGGUAGGGGAGAUUGGAAUUCCUGGUGUAGCGGUGGAAUGCGCAGAUAUCAGGAGGAACACCGAUGGCGAAGGCAGAUCUCUGGGCCGUAACUGACGCUGAGGAGCGAAAGCAUGGGGAGCGAACA
rnacentral:rRNA from 1 species